UUCCGGUUGAUCCCGCCGGACCUGACUGCUAUCGGAUUGAUACUAAGCCAUGCGAGUCAUUGUAGCAAUACAAGGCAGACGGCUCAGUAACGCGUAGUCAACCUAACCUAUGGACGGGAAUAACCUCGGGAAACUGAGAAUAAUGCCCGAUAGAACACUAUACCUGGAAUGGUUUGUGUUCCAAAUGAUUUAUCGCCGUAGGAUGGGACUGCGGCCUAUCAGUUUGUUGGUGAGGUAAUGGCCCACCAAGACUAUUACAGGUACGGGCUCUGAGAGGAGUAGCCCGGAGAUGGGUACUGAGACACGGACCCAGGCCCUAUGGGGCGCAGCAGGCGAGAAAACUUUGCAAUGUGCGAAAGCACGACAAGGUUAAUCCGAGUGGUUUCUGCUAAAGGAACCUUUUGUCGGUCCUAGAAACACCGAUGAAUAAGGGGUGGGCAAGUUCUGGUGUCAGCCGCCGCGGUAAAACCAGCACCUCAAGUGGUCAGGAUGAUUAUUGGGCCUAAAGCAUCCGUAGCCUGCUUUGUUAGUUUUCGGUUAAAUCUAUACGCUCAACGUAUAGGCUGCCGGGAAUACUGCAAAGCUAGGGAGUGGGAGAGGUAGACGGUACUCGGUAGGAAGGGGUAAAAUCCUUUGAUCUAUUGAUGACCACCUGUGGCGAAGGCGGUCUACCAGAACACGUCCGACGGUGAGGGAUGAAAGCUGGGGGAGCAAACCGGAUUAGAUACCCGGGUAGUCCCAGCCGUAAACCAUGCAAACUCAGUGAUGCAUUGGCUUGUGGCCAAUGCAGUGCUGCAGGGAAGCCGUUAAGUUUGCCGCCUGGGAAGUACGUACGCAAGUAUGAAACUUAAAGGAAUUGGCGGGGGAGCACCACAAGGGGUGAAGCCUGCGGUUCAAUUGGAGUCAACGCCGGG
rnacentral:rRNA from 1 species